AGCUCUGGGUACCAUGACCGAGGAGGAGACAGCACGCCUUAGGGCAGGAGCUCUGAUGGCUCGACCAAACUCACCCCAGUCUUCGGGGAGUGGGCGGUGGCGUUCGCAGGAGGUGCUGGAGGGAGCGCCACUGGCCUUAAUGCAAGCCCCGGUCGGCCUUAGUCCUCAUCCCGAGGGCUGCCCCGGCUCUGGCCGCCUGGGUUUGCGCCGACGGUCCACAGCUCCAGACAUCCCCAGCCUGGUCGGGGAGGCUUCAGGGCCUGAGAGUGGCCCAGAAUUAGAGAACAACGCUCUGCCUUUCUCAGUGCCUGGGCCAAAGCCUUGGCAGGCGGGCACAGAGGCUGUGGUACUGCAGGCUCAGCGGUAAGGAGCACGAAGGUCGCGCCCUGUAAAGUUCACUCUGUCUCUAGCUACUGAGAUGUCUCCCAUUCUUCCAAGUCCUCCCUUUCUCUGCAGUUUUCUGCCCACCCUUUGUCCCCACUGCUAAAGGGAGAUUUCCUGUAGUCCUCCACCAGAUGUAAGAAAGAGAUCCCAUCUUUUUGCUCUUUGGUAUUUCCCACGUAAAUCUCCCACCUUCCUCCAGCUUGAUUUCCUUGUCCUGGGGGAAAAAGGAGGUGUGAACAACGGCUGCUUCUGUGGGCUUCAGCUUUCUAGCCGGAAAGGUGGAUGGCUCAGGCCCAGCCCCAGCCUUGAGGUUCAACUGCCUAGGCUCGGUACCCGCAGCAUCCCUUGCCUAUUUUUAACUUUUCCUAUCACCUUGGCAGCCAGGUAACGGCAGAGCUGGCUUCGGAAGAACAAGGGCCCAGGCGGCUGUGCCUGCUGAUGCUGACCAUAAUAGUUUGACAAACUACCAAAGUCUCCCUUCCCUGUAAGUGUUGGAAGAAAGGAGGAACUAACGUGGCCACGUAAGCUUUUUGGACAAGAGGGCUGAUUAUGAAGGAAUCCAAUGGUUAAGGUUUUCUGAGGCAGAGACUCAAGGCAACAGGAAUAUUUUGAGACGCAAUGCCCCCUUUAGGUGUUUACCAGCUUUCCCUUCUGGGAAAUCAACUUCCUUUGACUCUGUCUCAGUCAAGACUAUGGGAUCUAACUUCAUUGAUACUGGUGGGUCACUGCUUCCCCAAGCCCCUACUAACUCUUGGCUUCUGGGCCUGCUUGACCCCCCAAAUGAUUGCGUUUGAAUUUCAUCUUUGAGGAUCAAUGUUUUCCCUUCUCCUGGCCCAGCCUUACUUAUAUUUCCACUUAGUCCCAGAGGCCUGAAAUGGAAAGGACAUAGCACCCCACCCCCUCCUUCCUCCCAGCUCCCCCAUUCCACACGUGGGUGCUCCAAGAGGGUGGAACAGCUAGGAAGGAUUUUUGCUUAAUUGUAUUUCUCCCAACCCUCAAAAGAACUCGUGUUUUGAGCCUUUGUGUAUGAAGCAGAAAGCAGCAGGUCUGAUCCGAGGCUUAAGAACCUGACAACGUCUCUUUAAAUAGCACCUCAGCGAGGGGGAUAAUUGACUGUAGUGUUUGCCACGUUAAACGGCGACGGGCGCGGGAGUCGAGAGCCCACACGAACUGCAGGUCCCGGUCUAAAUUACAUCAAACUCCCGAGAGAGCAUAGGAGGGGGCUGCUAAACGUCUCCUGCUUCUUGCUGGGCUGUUAAUGGAGGGCAGGGCAGAUGAUGGAUGCUAGAUCAAGACCAAAGACCCCUGCCUGGGCCCCACCGCGUGGGAUGCUGGCCCAGCCCAGCUUCCAGCUUUUAUUACUGGGCAGAUUAGUGAGUCAGAGGCAACUGUGGAGAAGUAGUUAGGCCCCCUCCCCGCGAAGUCUUUUGUCCUCUCCAUCUCCGCCCCUGCCCUCCAACACUGUACCUCCUCAGAGAGAAGGCGAAGAAAGGAGUUUGACAGAUUGCAUGCUCUACGACCCCAGUGUCAGUGCUAACUCCUGGUGGAAAAUCUGUACCAGCAGGGUGGGGUAAAAACUCCUGCUUCAAAGCAGUGAAGGUUUUCUGGCCGUGAUAGUACCUCGGGUUUCUAGUUGUGAACCCCGAAGAGUGAGCAUUUAAGUCCCUCACUUGUCUGCGAUAAAGUCUUUGAAGACGUUGAUCUUUGUGGAAGAUCGUCUUUGUGGAAAGGUUUCUCACCAGUAUCUCUGAGAGAACUUCCCAGAGAGAAUGCUGGUGCUCAGAAACUGGGUCUGCGGUUGAAGCGUAGGAAGUCGGAAACCAGUUUUUGCAGGGGCCAGAGAGCUCCGCAGUUCCUGCCCUCCCUCGCUAACGUCCGAGGCCGCGCGCCAGCCCACAUUUGGGACCGUGAUCCUUGCUGCCCCCUAGUGGCACCUCUGCAUUCUCCCCGCUGCGCCCCGGGAGCUCAGACUUGGCUUUCUUCGGGAGAUCAUUGAUGUGUAACUUCUCCCUCUGUGUGCUUUUUACCCAUAAAGCGUGUUCCUCUUGUAAAAUAUUAAAUCCGGAUACUUGAAGUCACUUCACUUCAAUGAAGUGAGGAACAGUGAACAAGGAAAGUCAGCACUGGGUGUGGUAAGAAGUGCUCAGAAGCCCAGCAAAGACCCCUUUACCAAGAACCCCAAGUUAUUUUGCAAGCUAAGGCUACUGUUGGAAGAUCGCCUGCUGUCUUUAGAACAACUGGAGCUGCCAACCCUUAUGACUUCUGAGCCUUGACCUGACCAUUUGUGUUGUCUUACGACAGUUGCUAUUCAUUCUGGGAUGAUCUCUCUGCCACCCCACCCCACCCGGACACACACAGACACUCCUGGCCUCUGUCCCACACACCUGCACACAUACACCUGCCUUUUCUCACCCCGAGGGGCAGACGAACAGUAUACCACAGUGUCUGAAAAGUCAGAGGAGGUCAGGGCUGGGACACUCCAAGUGAAUAGUGUUUUUCCUCUGACCCUUCGUCCCUCACAUUCUAUUUUCAACUAUGUUUACUUUUAGUGACUUUUUUAAUGGUGUAAGGAUACAAUUUUUUGGCUUACAAGCACCGUGGCAUUUGGCUCACACAUUGUGUCAGGGGUGCUGCCAACCAUCCAGUGUCACUGAUAUGUACCCUGUGGGAACGUCACUUUGGUCAGUCUCUGUUGGGUAAAUGAUUGCUCUUGUCUGUGGUCUGUGGAGUUGCUGGAACAUGGGUGGUUGAAAAUGGUUUUUCUGAUACACUGUAGAUCUUUCCCAUCUCAACUGAGUUGUGGGCCUUGUUGUCUGCCCUUAGCCUUAGCUAAGCCUUAGCAGGCUCUGUACAGAACUCCAGCACACUUCACUCGCUCUGGACUUCCUGUUAGCUCUAGGUAUACUGAGGCUGUGGUCCUCCCUCGUCCCCUCCUGCAGUAGGAAAAGACUUUGCUGCAUAUUCUGCCUUUCCUGUUAUUGUCGUCAUCAUCGUCGUUGUGAAGAGUCAGUCACCCCAGCCACUGGCACUUAGCGCUGGUUGGUGUGGAAGGGUAUGAAGGACGUUGGCACAUGCAUUUGGAGCGAUGUGCUGAAAAAGACUGGCAGGGGAGGCACAGCUAAUAAACCCAGUGUUGUUGCAUUGG
rnacentral:lncRNA from 1 species